rnacentral:rRNA from 1 species
AUUGAACGCUGGCGGCAUGCCUUACACAUGCAAGUCGAACGGUAACAGGUCUUCGGAUGCUGACGAGUGGCGAACGGGUGAGUAAUACAUCGGAACGUGCCUAGUAGUGGGGGAUAACUACUCGAAAGAGUGGCUAAUACCGCAUGAGAUCUACGGAUGAAAGCAGGGGAUCGCAAGACCUUGUGCUACUAGAGCGGCCGAUGGCAGAUUAGGUAGUUGGUGGGAUAAAAGCUUACCAAGCCGACGAUCUGUAGCUGGUCUGAGAGGACGAUCAGCCACGCUGGGACUGAGACACGGCCCAGACUCCUACGGGAGGCAGCAGUGGGGAAUUUUGGACAAUGGGCGCAAGCCUGAUCCAGCAAUGCCGCGUGCAGGAUGAAGGCCUUCGGGUUGUAAACUGCUUUUGUACGGAACGAAAAGCCCUGGGUUAAUACCCUGGGGUCAUGACGGUACCGUAGGAAUAAGCACCGGCUAACUACGUGCCAGCCGCCGCAGUAAAAC